rnacentral:lncRNA from 10 species
GUGCCCAUGGGGAUUAGUGGAAAGAGCUCUGUGCUUGGGUUGGGUGGUUUGCCCACUCCACCUUUUAUUCUCCUUGGAUGCCACCGGCCUUGCAUCUCUCUUGUGAGCUCAGAAGUUGCUUGACAUCACUGCCUUUUUCAUCAGGUGGUUCAUAGGAAGAGGCCAAGAGAGAGAGAAGGAUGCUGUAUUUAUGGGAAAAGGCUACCAGAAUUUCCAUCCGAGGUUGGUGGUCCAUUCCUCUACCUAUGUGGAAGGCAGGUUCUCCUUGACAAUAGCCAGGUCUGCAUGUGUCUUCCACUCAAUCUACAACGUAUCCACGGAGAGUGACCUUGUACUCAGUACUCAGUACUCCAGCCCCUUGGCUGGAGUUAGCUCUGCCCGCUCCACCCCUGUGCCUUUUCUGGCCCACUUGAAAUUUGAUGUCUUGGGUUGUAGCCUAUUUUUAAGGUUGAGUCUCACUCUUAGACUAUGAGCUCUUGAAAAAUAAUAACUGUGUCUUAUUUGUCUUUGCUCUUCCACUUACAUAUAGGAACUACUAAUGACAUUUAGCAAAUGUCUCUUUAUCUUUUGAUGGAGCAGAGAGAGGUCUGAGGAUGAACUGCUUUCAUCUUCUCGCUGUGUGAUCUUGCACGGGUCCUUUCCUAUCCCUCCUCUGCCACUCUUCUAGGACCGAAGGGGUUCGAGGGUGACCUUUCUGGCCACUUGCAAUUGCUAAGAGUGUAUUGAUUUGAGAAUUAAAGGAACGUGGCUCUUGAAAUGUGUGUGCGGUAGAGGCCAUCCAAAAUAGCUAAUGAAGAAACAUCCUGGGGAUUACGCCAAGUUCACAACGCAUUUUAAUGAGCCGUGAGUGUGUGUGAAUGCGUGUGUCGACCACAUGCACAUUGAUGGCUGUGGCAGGGAGGACGCUGUUUCUGAGAGUAGAGUCCUCACUUCUGAGAAACUUACAGAAGGUGGAACAGAUCACGCCGUAUUUCAUAGCAGCCUAAUUCUGACAUGCAUCUGCAAGCCUCAUAAGUCGUGGUUUGGUCGGUGCUGCCCAUCAAAUCAACUUCCUGAACUUGUUUUCAUCUGAACUCCAAGGCAGCCCAGGCGCGGGGGGAGCGCAAUCGCUCGUGUCUGACUGGCUGCCUCUGAAGUCGUCCGUUACCAGUAGUCUGUUUAGAAGGUGGAUUGUUAAUUGUUUGAUUUUUCUGCCAACAGGAUUCCCUGCAAAUUAGAAUUGUAAUCGCUGUGGGUAUUUCCUGAAUUAAAAGAAAAUAUAUAAUAAAAUAAAUAAAUAUUAGUUGUUUGGUUGUAUAAGCUUUUGAGACCUGCGAGGCUCCUCAUCAAUUAUUAAACUUGGCCGAAGAUGACAUUCCUAACUAGUGAGUGUGCCUGGAAAAAAAAAGACGCUGGCUAGAAAGCUUUGAGGCGCAAAUUUCCACGUUCUUACUGCUUGGCUCUGAAAGUCUAUGCCCGGAAGCUUUAAUUUCUUUAA